rnacentral:rRNA from 1 species
UACAGAGGGUGCGAGCGUUGUUCGGAAUUAUUGGGCGUAAAGCGCGAGUAGGCGGCAUGUUAAGUCGCGUGUGAAAGCUCCAGGCUCAACCUGGAAAGUGCGCGCGAAACUGGUGUGCUUGAGUGCCAGAGAGGGUGGCGGAAUUCCCGGUGUAGAGGUGAAAAUUCGUAGAUAUCGGGAGGAACACCAGAGGCGAAGGCGGCCACCUGGAGGGACACUGACGCUGAGAAGCGAAAGCGUGGGGAGCGAACAGG